GAGCAGUGAGGCUGCAGGGGCAUGUUCUAUACACCAAAACUGCUUCAUUAAGCUAAAGUUGUUCAGGUGACUAUAGUGUCCCUUUAACUUACUGGAUUUGAGAUAUGCACUCAUAAUUUGCAGAAUGUAUAGCUUCCAACAUUUAUUUAGCAGGGCAUUAAUUUGAAUGUUUAGUUGACCCAUGAUGGAUUGAUUAUAAUUUAGAUAACUG